rnacentral:lncRNA from 1 species
CAGAAACAUGCACUGUGCCUGGAGACACAGCUCACAGGUGCUGGGCUCUGCAAGGGGAGAAGGAAAGAGACGGGCAGGGAACAGACAGAAAGAAAUGCAGGGAGAAAGCCAGAGAGUACGAGGGCCAGGGAGGAAGGGCUGCAGUGCUGGCUGAAAGUCCCUUUCAGGAGGGGACUCCAACACUGCACCACAUCUGUAUUUCUGCCCCUGUCCCCACCACGGGAAUGAACCCAAGCCAGUCUGAUUGAGGAAGAGAGGCCACAUAAAGCAGAGAUGAGUUUCCCAGCUAAGACCAUCCAAGACCAGCCAGCCCCCAGCUGACCCGCCAGCCAGCCCUGAACACAUAAGUAACACUCAGCUGUGAUCAGUUAAGCUGAGGUCAGAUCAGCAGAACUACCCAACCAACAACCAGUUGACUGAUGAGAAUAAACGAUUGUUGUUUUAAGCCA